GAUAAAGGGAUAAAGGACAUCCUUGACUUGUUCCUGACCUCAGGAUUUUAUCUUCUCACAUCAUUAUAAGAAGAAAAAGUAUAAUACAAGAUAUUCCCAGAAGGAGAGAGGGAGAGAACACAUUCACAUAACUUUUAUUAAGUUCAGUCCCAACCUGUUGGUGGACCCGCACUGGAAGUGAGGGUGGGGCAGAGGAGUGGCCCAAAGCAGGGUAUCGGCCAGAAAAGAACAAGGAUGCUGUCCACAUAGAAGGGCUAACCUGUGUGGUGGGUAAGAAGGGUCUCACAUACAAAGGUGAUCUGAUGCAACUUGUUAGAACAAGAACAGGGUGAGGGACAUGAGUCAAAGCCCAAGGAGGGUGACCACAUGAAGGGGUGGCUUGGUGUGUGUGUCAAAGCCCAAGCAUGGUGACGGAUGUGGCCACACAAAGGGGAGCUCUGGGCAGAGCCAGAGCAGAUGAGGGCUGCACAGUGUGACACGGUCUGUGAGGGCAGCUUUGUGCUGGGAGUCAGAGCCAGACCAGGUGAAGGAGGGAGACCACACAGUGACAGGCUGGCAGGAGGGGCAGCAGGCUGACUUGAAGUGUCCAAAACCAAGUCAUGUGAAAGGGUAUCCAUAGGGGGAAGAGUGGCUGAGGAAAAGACUGGCCACAGACAAACAGGAUAAUGGGAGCCUGGUUCCCACAUCAGGAAAGGGAAGAAUUACAAAUAUUACAGAAAUGAGCUCUGUGACGCUGGACAGGAAUGAGAGGUACGUACGGUGUGAAUUCAUGGUUUACGACAAGAUUAUAGAUAGGGAAAUAAACCCUAAUGUGUAAGUGGGUAUUUAUGUGUAUUAUGUAAAUGGCAUGUAAUUUUAUAUAUUAUAUAUACAAUACCCUUGUUCUUCCCUCUUAGAGGGCUCAGAAACAGUGAUACCCCAAUAGCAACAAACAUACUGGCUCUGAAUAUCAGACUGCCCUAAAAGAAACAAGGACCCUUUGGAGAAACAACCAAUUCCAGGGCUGAGGCAGGAAAAGCCUCCAACAUCUUGUGCCAAAAAGCAAAGAAAUGCUCAAACAAUGCUGAGAACAUACAGGUGGAUAAUAAAAACGACAGCAAUUAAAGGUAAUUGUCACCUAAAAACAUAUCACAAUGAUUAUGUGCUUAGAAGCUACCCAAAUCUCUG